AAUUAUUAUUUUAACCUUCUAUGGACAGGUGUUGAAAAUUAGCAUAUUUUGCUAUAACACUUAAAACAUUGCAUCUGGUUUGUCCAAUGUGAAUGUUAUGUCCAUAUUAAAUAAAUAAAUAAAUAAAUAAAAUAA